AUGUGGGCUGAUGUGGUGCGGGCGCAGCCCUCUCCGGGGGCGCGCACGGGGCAGGCUGUCUCUGCUCGCGGCUCCGGUCCGGACUUCUCCGUCCCGUUCAUCGCUGCCGGCGGGGCUGAUGUGGUGCCUGGGGUGCGUGACCCUGUGGACUUGGUGGAAGUUUGUUUCUUGGAGGCUUCGGAGGAUAUCUGGAGUAUGGAGGCGGAGCUUGCGCGUGCGGUGCUCGUCACGGUCACCGGCACCCGCCCGUCGGUGGAUUUGGCGUCUGCUGCCGAGGCGCUUCAUCGGGAAUUCGCCAUUGGCCCGGCAGACAUGUCCAUCCGCCCGUACUACCCGGAGGAUUUCCUCGUGCUCUGUGGUGAUGGGGCACUCCGGGAGCGUAUGGUGCGCGCUGGGAGGGCGUCGGCAUCCUGGUUCGAGCUCAAGCUUCGCCCGUGGAUUCGUCAAGCUCAGGCCACGGCAGUUAACCUGCCUUUCCUAGUCCCUGUCUCGCUUCGGGGCAUCCCGGCGCAUGCAUGGUGCCAGAGGACGGCGGCAGUGAUCUUGCGUGGCCUGGGUUUCGUGGUGGCGGUGGAUGACAGUACAGCGAGAAGGCACGACAUGGCAGACUUCAGAGUUUGGUUGCGUACGGACCGCCCGGAGAGGAUCCCACGGCGCCGUCUGCUCUACAUCGACGAGCCGAGACGCUCGCUCUGGGCCGUGGAGGAGGGCAGUCGUCGUCGUCGCUGGCCGGCUGCCCGGUGUGCUUCCGCACUCUGGUACCCUGUUGACAUCGCUAUUCUGGGGGAGCCAGAACAGGUGGAUGAUCAGGAGGUGGAUGACCCGCAUCCGCCGCCGCCGCCGCCACCGCCUUCGUCGCCGUCGGGGAAUGACGACUGGCAAGCGCGCCAUGGCGUCGACAGGCAUUCGGGUGGCGGGGCUGGCAGCAAUGGUGGCUCGGGAGGUUCAGGUGGUUAUGCGGCCUCCAUGGUCGGGUCUUCGGCGGUCAGGCGCGUCGUUCAAACGGCCGCCUCAGGUGGGUGCCACAGACGGCUGGGCUAG
rnacentral:rRNA from 1 species